GACAGAGGGUGCAAACGUUGCUCGGAAUCACUGGGCGUAAAGGGCGCGUAGGCGGGAAUGUAAGUCGGGCGUGAAAUCCCUAGGCUCAACCUAGGAACUGCACUCGAAACUGCGUUUCUUGAGUAUCGGAGAGGAAAGCGGAAUUCCUGGUGUAGAGGUGAAAUUCGUAGAUAUCAGGAGGAACACCAGUGGCGAAGGCGACUCGCUGGACAGACAUUGACGCUGAGGUGCGAAAGCGUGGGGAGCAAACAGG
rnacentral:rRNA from 1 species